rnacentral:rRNA from 1 species
UACGGGGGGGGCAAGCGUUGUUCGGAAUUACUGGGCGUAAAGGGCUCGUAGGCGGCCAACUAAGUCAGACGUGAAAUCCCUCGGCUUAACCGGGGAACUGCGUCUGAUACUGGUUGGCUUGAAUCCGGGAGAGGGAUGUGGAAUUCCAGGUGUAGCGGUGAAAUGCGUAGAUAUCUGGAGGAAUACCGGUGGCGAAGGCGGCAUCCUGGACCGACAUUGACGCUGAGGAGCGAAAGCUAGGGGAGCAAACGGG